CCUACGGGUGGCAGCAGUGAGGAAUAUUGGUCAAUGGACGCAAGUCUGAACCAGCCAUGCCGCGUGCAGGAAGACGGCUCUAUGAGUUGUAAACUGCUUUUGUACGAGGGUAAACGCAGACACGUGUAUCUGUCUGAAAGUAUCUUAUGAAUAAGGAUCGGCUAACUCCGUGCCAGCAGCCGCGGUAAUACGGAGGAUUCAAGCGUUAUCCGGAUUUAUUGGGUUUAAAGGGUGCGUAGGAGGUCGGUUAAGUUAGAGGGGAAAUCCCGGGGCUCAACCUCGGAAUUGCCACUGAUAACGGGCGGCUAGAAGGUAGGUGCGGGAAGCGGAAAGUAUGGG
rnacentral:rRNA from 1 species